UGACCAACCUGCCCCUAACUCUGGGAUAACCCCGGGAAACCGGGAGCUAAUACCGGAUACGAGACCGAGUGGCAUCACACGGUCUGGAAAGUUUUUCGGUUAGGGAUGGGGUCGCGGCCUAUCAGCUUGUUGGUGGGGUAAUGGCCUACCAAGGCGACGACGGGUAGCCGGCCUGAGAGGGCGACCGGCCACACUGGGACUGAGACACGGCCCAGACUCCUACGGGAGGCA
rnacentral:rRNA from 1 species